UGACCGCUGGCGGCGUGCCUAAUACAUGCAAGUCGAGCGAACAGAUGAGGAGCUUGCUCCUCUGACGUUAGCGGCGGACGGGUGAGUAACACGUGGAUAACCUACCUAUAAGACUGGGAUAACUUCGGGAAACCGGAGCUAAUACCGGAUAAUAUAUUGACCCGCAUGGUUCAAUAGUGAAAGACGGUUUUGCUGUCACUUAUAGAUGGAUCCGCGCCGCAUUAGCUAGUUGGUAAGGUAACGGCUUACCAAGGCAACGAUGCGUAGCCGACCUGAGAGGGUGAUCGGCCACACUGGAACUGAGACACGGUCCAGACUCCUACGGGAGGCAGCAGUAGGGAAUCUUCCGCAAUGGGCGAAAGCCUGACGGAGCAACGCCGCGUGAGUGAUGAAGGUCUUCGGAUCGUAAAACUCUGUUAUUAGGGAAGAACAAAUGUGUAAGUAACUAUGCACGUCUUGACGGUACCUAAUCAGAAAGCCACGGCUAACUACGUG
rnacentral:rRNA from 1 species